GACGAACGCUGGCGGCGUGCUUAACACAUGCAAGUCGAACGGAAAGGCCCUGCUUGUGUGGGGUGCUGGAGUGGCGAAGGGGUGAGGAACACGUGAGUAACCGGCCCUAGUCUUUGGGAUAACUUCAGGAAACGGGGGCUAAGCCCGGAUCGGAGCUGCUGCUGCAGGGUGGGGGUUGGAAAGUUUGGGCGGGUGGGGAUGGACGCGCGGCUUAUGAGCUUGUUGGUGGGGUAGGGGCUUACCAAGGCUUUGACGGGUCGCCGGCCUGAGAGGGUGACCGGCCACAUUGGGACUGAGAUACGGACCAGACUCCUACGGGAGGCAGCAGUGGGAAAUAUUGCACAAUGGGCCGAAGCCUGAUGCAGCAACGCCGCGUGCGGGAUGACGGCCUUCGGGUUGUAAACCGCUUUCGCCUGUGACGACGCGUGAGUGACGGUAAUGGGUAAAGAAGCACCGGCUAACUACGUG
rnacentral:rRNA from 1 species